ensembl:lncRNA
AAUCCAGCAUGAGAAAUACAGUACCUGCUAUGGCAAAAAUACACAUAAAAUGCAACAUUUCAGCUUAUUUGUACAUUAGUAGAGUUUAAACAUUUUAUUGUUGUUGGUUUUUUUUUCUUUUUUUUUUUUUAAGUGAACCAGUGAUUUUAAGUACCACUAUACUAAAGGUAAAAUAAAAAUAUAGGAAAGGAGGAGAAGGGGGGGGCAGCCAGCCGUACGAGAGCACCUGCUAAAGUGCCGAUUUAGCAAAGUUAUCUCUGUCCCCUACGCCCCCUUUGCAGAAUGCAUAGUUUACAAUUCACUUACAAAAUAAAGAAGCGAUGCUGACCACAUAUGGGACCUUUUUUUUUUUUUUUUUUGAAAAAAGAACAAACAACCUCUUCUUAAGUUCAGUAUCAAAAUUCACAUUUGCAUAAUAAUACAUUUCAAGGCCAUUAGAGAGGAAUGAGAGCGAAGCAAAGAAAACUGCAGAGUCUCUCCUCUCUUUUGUCUUCCUGAAUAGAGCUGAGGGAUCCCACUGGAGUUUCUUUUCAUGGUGGGAAUUACGAAGGGCUACAGCAACAGCUCUUGAUCUCGUACACCUCAUUUUGGAUGGGAUGAAGAGGUGAAUUAUCAGAAAAAAACAAAUGGAAGGAGACACUGCAGAUUCCCAUGUUUAGCUACAAACAGCUUCAAAGAAACAAAAAAUAACUUCAAUUUUCUUUUCCUUUUAAACACUUCUACCUCACCAUUUCAAAAACUCUUUUUUCUUCUUGUGUAAUACCCUGUUCAUUUAAAUGGCAACAUUAAGUGUGCUGGAAGUUGACGGGUUGAAAAAAAUAAAUUUUCUUGUUUCUUUCAUCAGGACACGGACAGAGAGGGUAAAAGUGUGCCUGCACCCACUAUUUAACAGAAGCUACAAAACAUCAACUUCUCUACAUGUAUAAAUUUGUCCCAAACAUCACUGUGUUUCAAUUCUCCAGUGCUUACAAAAAAUAAAGCCACACACACUCACACUCAUGCACACCAACGUAAAGAGAAGCCACAUAAAACAUACAAACUCAACCUGCAACGGCAGACUAGCCUAAAACUACCAACAGCUUCUGUGCAUCACACUACAGCCCUUCUCACCCCCCACCCCGAUCUCUACCACAUAAGAAUAUGUACUGUGCAGCGCAGAGACCAGCCCAAGGAUGCUGCUUGCCCAAAGGGACCAGUGGGCUGGAAUCUCAACAUCUGACCUCUUGAAAGAUUAAACUGA